rnacentral:rRNA from 1 species
UCCAGACUCCUACGGGAGGCAGCAGUGGGGAAUAUUGGGCAAUGGGCGCAAGCCUGACCCAGCAACGCCGCGUGAAGGAAGAAGGCUUUCGGGUUGUAAACUUCUUUUAAGAGGGAAGAGUAGAAGACGGUACCUCUUGAAUAAGCCACGGCUAACUACGUGCCAGCAGCCGCGGUAAUACGUAGGUGGCAAGCGUUGUCCGGAUUUACUGGGUGUAAAGGGCGUGUAGCCGGGUUGGCAAGUCAGAUGUGAAAUCCUGCGGCUUAACCGCAGAACUGCAUUUGAAACUGUUGAUCUUGAGUACUGGAGAGGCAGACGGAAUUCCUAGUGUAGCGGUGAAAUGCGUAGAUAUUAGGAGGAACACCAGUGGCGAAGGCGGCCUGCUGGGCUUUAACUGACGCUGAGGCUCGAAAGCGUGGGGAGCAAACAGGAUUAGAUACCCCCGUAAC